rnacentral:tRNA from 1 species
CCUGUAGCUUAACCAAAGCAUGGCACUGAAGAUGCCAAGAUGGCAGCCACCCUGCGCCCAAGGACA